UAUAAGGGAUUUUGAGUUUUUUCUUGCAAUGUUUGAUCACUCGUCUUAUUUCAAAUUUUUUUAAAAUUAUUAAUUAUUUUAUUUGUGACUUACUUUAUUAUCUACAAUACUUUAAGCACAACUUUUCAUUUUUUAUAUUUGCAAAAAAAAUUUGAAUAAGACGAGUGGUCAAACAUUGCAAGUAAAAAUUGAAAAUCCCUUAUA
rnacentral:pre_miRNA from 1 species